GCAUGGCCGAAUUCUGCAUUGGCUUCCACCGUGGCCAGUGGAGUCAGACACCAUGCGAGAGAAAGGCCUCUCUGCCUUGUGGGCUUCCUUGUGGCGUGUGAUGCAGAGUGUCACACGCCUGGACCAGAAGCAGAGACAUCA